GCACCGCUAGCUCAAGUGGUAGAGCAGCUGACUCUUAAUCAGCGGGUUCGGGGUUCGAGUCCCUGGCGGUGCACAA
rnacentral:tRNA from 1 species